CAGCAGCCGCGGUAAUACGGAGGGUGCGAGCGUUAUCCGGAUUUAUUGGGUUUAAAGGGUCCGUAGGCGGGCCUGUAAGUCGGAGGUGAAAUCCCGCGGCUCAACCGCGGAACCGCCUUCGAUACUGCGGGUCUUGAGUAGGCUUGAGGCGGCCGGAAUGAGUGGUGUAGCGGUGAAAUGCAUAGAUAUCACUCAGAACACCGAUAGCGAAGGCAGGUCGCCAAGGCCUUACUGACGCUGAUGGACGAAAGCGUGGGGAGCGAACAGGAUUAGAUACCCUGGUAGUCCACGCCGUAAACGAUGCUCACUCGUUCUCGGGCGUUAUCGUUCGGGGGCUAAGCGAAAGUGAUAAGUGAGCCACCUGGGGAGUACGGGCGCAAGCCUGAAACUCAAAGGAAUUGACGGGGGCCCGCACAAGCGGUGGAUUAUGUGGUUUAAUUCGAUGAUACGCGAGGAACCUUACCAGGGCUUAAAUGGGGGCCGACCGGCGCAGAGAUGCGCCUUUCUUCGGACGGUCUUCAAGGUGCUGCAUGGUUGUCGUCAGCUCGUGCCGUGAGGUGUUAGGUUAAGUCCUGCAACGAGCGCAACCCCUGCCGCCAGUUGCCAUCAUUAAGUUGGGGACUCUGGCGGGACUGCCUACGCAAGUAGCGAGGAAGGCGGGGACGACGUCAAAUCAUCACGGCCCUUACGCCCUGGGCCACACACGUAAUACAAUGGCCGGUACAGAGGGCAGCCACGCGGCGACGCGGAGCGAAUCUCGAAAGCCGGUCUCAGUUCGGAUUGGAGUCUGCAACUCGACUCUAUGAAGCUGGAAUCGCUAGUAAUCGCGCAUCAGCCAUGGCGCGGUGAAUACGUUCCCGGGCCUUGUACACACCGCCCGUCAAGCCAUGGAAGUCCGGGGUACCUGAAGUCGGUGACCGUAAAGGAGCUGCCUAGGGUAAAACGGGUAACUAGGGCUAAGUCGUAACAAGUAGCCGU
rnacentral:rRNA from 1 species